GUCUUAUUGAAUAAAAUUCUAAGUCAAAUCUGCUCAAUGAAAAUUUUAAAUAGCUGCAGUAUCUAUAACUGUACAAAGGUAGCAUAAUAAUUAGGUUUUUAAUUGAAAUCUAGAAUGAAAGAUUUAAUGAAAUAUAAACUUUAUUUUCAAAAUUAUAUAAACUUAUUUUUUAAUUUAAAAAAAUUAAAUUUAAUUAAAAGACGAAAAGACCCUAUAAAAUUUUAUAAUUAAUUAUUUAAUAUAUAAAAUUAAAUAUAAUAUUAAUAUUUAAUUAUUUAAUUGGGGUGAUUUAAAAAUUUAAAUAACUUUUUAAACUUCAAACAUUAAUAUAUGAUUUACAUUAUAAUUAUUUUAAAAAAUUAAAAUAAAUUACUUUAGGGAUNACAGCAUAAUUUUUUUUUAAAGCUCACAUUUGUAAAAAAUUUUAU
rnacentral:rRNA from 1 species